rnacentral:rRNA from 1 species
UACGUAGGUGGCAAGCGUUGUCCGGAUUUACUGGGCGUAAAGAGCGCGCAGGCGGCCAAGUCAGUCGAAUGUGAAAGCCCCCGGCUCAACUGGGGAGGGUCAUUCGAUACUGCUCGGCUCGAAGACAGGAGAGGGAAGUGGAAUUCCCGGUGUAGUGGUGAAAUGCGUAGAUAUCGGGAGGAACACCUAUGGCGAAGGCAGCUCGCUGGGACGUUACUGACGCUGAGACGCGAAAGCGUGGGGAGCAAACAGG